AUUGAACGCUGGCGGCAUGCCUUACACAUGCAAGUCGAACGGUAACAGGUCUUCGGAUGCUGACGAGUGGCGAACGGGUGAGUAAUACAUCGGAACGUGCCUAGUAGUGGGGGAUAACUACUCGAAAGAGUGGCUAAUACCGCAUGAGAUCUACGGGUGAAAGCAGGGGAUCGCAAGACCUUGUGCUACUAGAGCGGCCGAUGGCAGAUUAGGUAGUUGGUGGGAUAAAAGCUUACCAAGCCGACGAUCUGUAUCUGGUCUGAGAGGACGAUCAGCCACACUGGGACUGAGACACGGCCCAGACUCCUACGGGAGUCAGCAGUGGGGAAUUUUGGACAAUGGGCGCAAGCCUGAUCCAGCAAUGCCGCGUGCAGGAUGAAGGCCUUCGGGUUGUAAACUGCUUUUGUACGGAACGAAAAGCCCUGGGUUAAUACCCUGGGGUCAUGACGGUACCGUAAGAAUAAGCACCGGCUAACUACGUGCCAGCCGCCGCAGUAAAAC
rnacentral:rRNA from 1 species